GAUGAACGCUGGCGGCGUGCCUAAUACAUGCAAGUCGAGCGAACGGACGAGAAGCUUGCUUCUCUGAUGUUAGCGGCGGACGGGUGAGUAACACGUGGAUAACCUACCUAUAAGACUGGGAUAACUUCGGGAAACCGGAGCUAAUACCGGAUAAUAUUUUGAACCGCAUGGUUCAAAAGUGAAAGACGGUCUUGGUGUCACUUAUAGAUGGAUCCGCGCUGCAUUAGCUAGUUGGUAAGGUAACGGCUUACCAAGGCAACGAUGCAUAGCCGACCUGAGAGGGUGAUCGGCCACACUGGAACUGAGACACGGUCCAGACUCCUACGGGAGGCAGCAGUAGGGAAUCUUCCGCAAUGGGCGAAAGCCUGACGGAGCAACGCCGCGUGAGUGAUGAAGGUCUUCGGAUCGUAAAACUCUGUUAUUAGGGAAGAACAUAUGUGUAAGUAACUGUGCACAUCUUGACGGUACCUAAUCAGAAAGCCACGGCUAACUACGUG
rnacentral:rRNA from 1 species